GAGAGGAAAAGGGAAGAAAGCAGCUGGCUGAUAACUUAUGACACCAUCUUUAGCAGAAAAGAGAAUUUAAAAAAAGGACUUGGCCGUGAGCAAUGUAGCGUUUCUCACCUACUCAAUGAUAUAAAGUACCCAGAACAAAAAUAAGGUCUGGCAAAGAAAAAAAAAAAAAAAAAGGAAUAUCUUCACUUGGUGUAAAGCAACACUGUGUCGAAAGCAGAAAAGCAGUAAGCCUUUAACCUACGUACAACUUUGCAGAUCAGUCAUUUAAAUAAAUACCUCACAACUAAUCGAUCUAUCAUGAGUAUCAUCACUUUAACUCAUCAUGUGUCCAAAUACACAAUAGCAUAUUUGGACAGCAGUUAGCUACCCCACUGAAGCUCACAGCUUCUACCUGUCAUGCCCAGUUUCUCUCAGAGUCUGCAAACUGCUGUUGUCUAUAACAAACUGUAAAAGAGCAGUAGGGCUUUGGCUGGGAGAGGACCAACUCCUCUUGAAAGCAUGGCAACCUCAUCCACUGGCUUGAGAUUCAGCCCCCUGCCCCCCAAAUUCACUGCAUGCAUCUAUCACGUUAUAUGCAUCUACCUGUCCACUUUAAACAUUCUAGUUUUGCAAUGCUUAUACAUAUUACCAUUUUGGAUUCUUAGCAAGAGAAUAACAUUUUAGAAGACACUUAUUUCAAAUCAUAGGACAUUCAUUAAUCAUCAACUGACAUGUUCCUGAUUAACAGCUUCGUUUUUAAAUACUGUGCCUGUAAUGACAACUUGUAAAUGACAGGCAAGUCUUAACAUUUUUGUUGUAAUUAUGUUCUUUUUACUGCCACCAAUCUUCCAAAAAGGAAAAAGAACAUCCUAACAUUUCGAGUAUAUUAAGUUCAUGUGGGAACUGAAGAGCCCGUUAUUAAUUUAGUGGGCACAUCUGAGAAAUUCUGAUGCUGCCUUCCAAGUUUACAGCAGCCUCAACAGCAGAAAAUGCUAUUCUGAAAUAUUAUGCAAUGACACUUCAGCUUCCCACUCUUCUCUCAGCAUUAUCCUACAGACAUCCUUGAGUGAAACUCAGAACAUGAAAUACAUAAAUAUUUGCUAAGAGAAUGCCAUAACAAGUGUGAAUCCAAACUAGAAAAGCUGAUAAACUUUGCCAAUAAGGCAAGACUAUAUACUAGAAGUCUGAAAUUAUUUCUCUGAUUACACAGAAUAAGUUAUACCAAGUCCAUUGCUGUAAACUACCAGUGGUCUAAUGUACCACAUGUAAUAACAAUGUCAGUAUAUACAGAUAAUUUGAUCUUUAAUGACCAAUGUAUUUUUUAAUAUGCAUACGUGCAUUUAUAUGCACCAAGGGGUUGGUUAAGAUUAGAGGGACAGCAGGUACAAACACAGCCCAGAAGCAUUCAUUUACCCUUCUGCAAUAGAAGCUGUUUGCUUAGCUGAUGUUUUCUCUUUUCAUAUUUUUUCAUUAGUUUGAUCUCAAACACACUAGUGCAUGAGGUUUUACUCACAGAACAAACGCAUCACAAAUACUGCCAUGAAUAAAUAAUAAUGAGAGCAUUGAUGCCAAAAGCACUUUCAUGACACUUAUGAAAAGCCUUCUAUUUCAUGCAAAAUUGAUUUGUUGAACAAUUAUGAAUAUUCACAGGUAAUCAAUGAAGAGAGAAGAGACUCAUCCUGCUCAUACAACUUAAGACAUUUAACCAGGAAAGCGUGUGAUUUAGGUCACCAGUCAAAAUCAGGAGCAGGAUGCAAAACACAGAGAAGCCAAUACCAGUAUCUCCUUCAUUUUCAAUGGCAUUAGACCAAAACCCAUAAUAGAAGAAAUAAAGACUGAAAAGGAAAGCAAGGGAGUAAAUCAAAGACGGCUGGUAAUAGAAGCAAAGACGUUGAAGCUAUUCACCAUCUGCUGUUAGCGCAGGAUGAACUCACAUGGGACUAGAUCUUCAAAAGAUUUCUGUUCUCAUUUAGGCAUAAAAAUUAAUGGCAAUAUUUUAAAAAAAAAAAAAAUACAAAAAUAAAUUUAAAACAAAACCAAACAAACACAAAAACAACACCACAAACAAACAAACAAAAAACCCCACACCACCAAAAUCAGCUCGAUGAUUGUUUUGGAUUGGUUUUGGUUUUUUCAAGAUUUGGCCACAAGUGUCAUGGCAAAAGCCUAAGAGCCAAGGGGUGAUGAGUUCCUAUGAAAUGCUUUUCCUACUUAGAGCCGGUGAGAACAGAGAUAUUUCAUGCUGUGCUGCAGAUUGGUAAUUUAAUUCCCAGUAAAUAGCACAGUAUCCAUAAAUGUUACAAGUAAGGGGCUACCGGUUUCUGUGCUGAUAAUAGAGAAAAGACAAGCAAUAGCUCACAAAAAGUAAAACCUAAAAUAGGAGUAAAUAAACUGAAACUUUCCUAUCUACAUGGAACUGCAAUGGGAAGCAAAGCUGGGAUGUAUUUAGAAAUCAUCAGGUAAAAUACACAUUUGAAAUACACUGGCCAUGUCACAGAUAGGCUAUCAGAGCACUCAGUGGGCAGUACAGGGCCACUCUGAGCCUCUCUAAGCCAUGCAGGCAAAGUGAAGUGACACUGGUUAGGAAGCCUCUGCAGAAGUCUCGUGUUGUUCCACAUUUACCACCUUCUCUUCUGCGCAAGCUCGGGGGCAAUGCAUGCAGUAACAUGCCUUCGACAGAGACAAAUAUGUGUUGUUAAAAGGAGAGCUGACGUCUAUUUCCAAUCCUUUCCCAUUCCUCUCCUUCGUAACUGGCCUGUAGUUUUAAGACAGAUGCAGAAUUGGGAAACAACACACCAGUAAGUCUUCACUACCUCCCUAGUGGGCCUUCCUCAGUAUGGAAGGUAUGCUCUAGGCUACAUACAGACCUGUACAGAAAACCAAGGGCCAGAGAAAUAAGGUUUCUCUGAUGGUAAGAGAUCCCUUCAGGCAAGGAUGAGGCAUAUUGGUAACGUACCAUGCCCUAAACAAGCUCUUCUUGAAGAAAUAUGUGGUGUAUUGGACAAACUUGAGGCUCUAUACACAGAAGAAAUUCACCAAGGAAAAGUAUCAUGUGUAAAAAUAUAUAGGCCUGUUUUGUUGUAGGUUUGUGUGUGUGUGUUUUGGUUUAUUUUUAAUUUUUGUUUUCUUU